CUCUGGAGGCUGAAGGCCGCCUCAGAGACCGCCGCCUCAGAGACGGCCGCCUCCUCCGCCAUGGCCGCGGCGUUGCCGGGGGCGACCUCUCGCGAGGAGAGGCGCCCGCGCCGCGGCGGGAAGAGACCCGGGGUUAAUUGAAUUUAAAUUAAUUUCGUUUAAUUCGAUUCAGUUUAAUGUAACUCAGCGCUUGUAACUGCGGGCGCAGCUCCUGGCGCGUUUGGGACGGCGCUGUGAGGAACGGGGUGUUUAAGGGCGGGCGAGGAGUCUCCCGAGGCUUCCAGGGCGGCCCCUCAGGGCGGGCACCCCCACACCGCCCUUCCUCACGGGGAAGGAAAAACAGCAGAAAACCAGCGAGGAAACCGCUGCAAACUCAUAAGAGAGCACUAAUAUCUUCUGCAGAUGGAACAUUUUUGCAGCUGGAAGCUGAGCUGAGUCCUCUGGGACCGAUUGCUUAAGUCCCUUCAGAACCCAAACUCCAAGGGAUCCGAAGAAUCCAAGGGAUUGCUUAAGUCCCUUCAGAACCCAAACUCUUCUGUGAUUCUAUAUUCACGUUUAAAAGCAGGAGCUUUCCCAGGAAAAAGUUUGGGAGACCAGCAUAUAUUUGUGGAGAUCACACGUCACGGCUCCCAGAAGUUUGAAAAAAAAGUUGCAGGAUUCGACAGAACAACAUCUGUUGCUUUUUCUUAUUUUAAGAUUAAACUGAUGUCACCAGCACAAUAUUCUUUCAUCAUAUCCAACCCACCAGAGGCAUCCUGAUCUCCAGCAGAGCAUCUCAAAAAAAGAAUAAGCAGAAGUGGCAUCACGAAGCACAACGUCCACCAGUCAGUACUCCUAAACUGCAGAGUGAAAAGCUGAUAACACUGUGAAAGUUGGGAUGGCUACAACUGAAAGCACCAUUCUUUUAGGGAAGUUUCCAAUUCCACCCCAAAUCACAGGCGCAGCUUUUGGGGAGGAAGGACGAGGCAAUGUCAGCAAUUCAGCUUUCUGAAAGAGCACAAAGCGUGGCUCUAACAGCACUCUCACGAUGACAGCCAAGAGGCCAUUGUCCACACGGUCAUGGCGGAGCACGGGACCACAGCUGGAAGCCAGAAUCAGUUGGCAAACAUCUUGUUCCAGCUUCUGCUGUGCCAUCUGGCUUCCAGAGAGGUGACUGACGUUAAAUGUAUUUUCUCUGUAUUGCCAUCUGGCAGCUGCUUGUACAACAACAGAGUAACAUGCAGAAUUUGGCUAAGACUUAUCCCAAGAAUCACAUCAAGGAUACUUGUAACACAGACUCUGAAACGGAAAAAAAGGCUUACAAGGAAAGUUUUGUCAGCUGCAGGCAUGACAGGCACAGAGUAUUGCAGGCGGAAUCCACCACAAGACUCCCUGAAGGAAAUUUGGCUCAGAGCAGGAUGGCACCUGAACUGGACAAAAUUUUCUGCCCACAUCUCCAGCUGCAACCCUGUUCAUACUCCCAUUCACCUGUGAGAUGAAGCCUCACCAGGGAUGCUCUGAGGUCCUCACCAGAUGAGUUAUCCAUGGCUAAGCCUGGCAAAGGAGGUGCUCAUGUGAGUGCAGCACAGCUGCACAUGGGGUCAGGGAAUGCCAGCAUGGGAAACUUUGAGCAAGGCAGGUCCUGCACUCCUUUUUGUCAA